AUUUGGGGGGUGGGGGGGCAGCUACAAGUAGCUGGUCUUGGUUAAAGCACAAAAUAGUCUAGCAUUGGCCCUGUGCAUAUAUAGACUAUAUUGGACUAUUUUUAAGAUUGCUUUGGACUAUUUUAUUUACCCACAGCUACUGUAUAUUAUUGAAAAUAGCACUUUGUCAUUCCUGUACUUUUGUGGCGCAGCCAUUUUUUCUUUGUUGUUCUUGUUGAUCUCCUGAAGGGUUUAGAUAGAUUCCCUUCUUUUGGUUUGCUGUCUUCAUUUUGAUUAUUUAGCGUUAAACCUGCUCCCUUUUUUCUGUAUUUUGUGUGUGUGUGUGUGUGUGUGUGUGUGUGU